rnacentral:rRNA from 1 species
CCUACGGGCGGCAGCAGUGAGGAAUAUUGGUCAAUGGGCUUAAGCCUGAACCAGCCAAGUCGCGUGAGGGAAUACUGCCCUAUGGGUUGUAAACCUCUUUUGUCAGGGAGCAACGCCGGGUACGUGUAACCGGCCGGAGAGUACCCGAAGAAAAAGCAUCGGCUAACUCCGUGCCAGCAGCCGCGGUAAUACGGAGGAUGCGAGAGUUAUCCGGAUUGAUUGGGGUUAAAGGGUGCGUAGGCGGAAUUCUAAGUCAGCGGUAAAAUAUCGGGGCUCAACCUCGCUCCGCCGUUGAAACUGGCGUCCUUGAGUGGGCGAGAAGUAUGCGGAAUGCGUGGUGUAGCGGUGAAAUGCAUAGAUAUCACGAAGAACUCCGAUUGCGAAGGCAGCAUACCGGCGCCCAACUGACGCUGAAGCACGAAAGUGUGGGUAUCGAACAGGAUUAGAUACCCUUGUAGUC